UGGGGAAUAUUGCACAAUGGGCGCAAGCCUGAUGCAGCCAUGCCGCGUGUAUGAAGAAGGCCUUCGGAUUGUAAAGUACUUUCAGCGAGGAGGAAGGCGUUGUGGUUAAUAACCGCAACGAUUGACGUUACUCGCAGAAGAAGCACCGGCUAACUCCGUGCCAGCAGCCGCGGUAAUACGGAGGGUGCAAGCGUUAAUCGGAAUUACUGGGCGUAAAGCGCACGCAGGCGGUCUGUCAAGUCGGAUGUGAAAUCCCCGGGCUCAACCUGGGAACUGCAUCCGAAACUGGCAGGCUAGAGUCUUGUAGAGGGGGGUAGAAUUCCAGGUGUAGCGGUGAAAUGCGUAGAGAUCUGGAGGAAUACCGGUGGCGAAGGCGGCCCCCUGGACAAAGACUGACGCUCAGGUGCGAAAGCGUGGGGAGCAAACA
rnacentral:rRNA from 1 species